rnacentral:rRNA from 1 species
GAACGCUGGCGGCGUGCCUAAUACAUGCAAGUCGAGCGAACAGAUGAGGAGCUUGCUCCUCUGACGUUAGCGGCGGACGGGUGAGUAACACGUGGAUAACCUACCUAUAAGACUGGGAUAACUUCGGGAAACCGGAGCUAAUACCGGAUAAUAUAUUGAACCGCAUGGUUCAAUAGUGAAAGACGGUUUUGCUGUCACUUAUAGAUGGAUCCGCGCCGCAUUAGCUAGUUGGUAAGGUAACGGCUUACCAAGGCAACGAUGCGUAGCCGACCUGAGAGGGUGAUCGGCCACACUGGAACUGAGACACGGUCCAGACUCCUACGGGAGGCAGCAGUAGGGAAUCUUCCGCAAUGGGCGAAAGCCUGACGGAGCAACGCCGCGUGAGUGAUGAAGGUCUUCGGAUCGUAAAACUCUGUUAUUAGGGAAGAACAAAUGUGUAAGUAACUAUGCACGUCUUGACGGUACCUAAUCAGAAAGCCACGGCUAACUACGUG